AUAGUGAUAAACUCUGAAGCUGUAUAUGAAGUUUGGAGGUGUGUAGUGAUGAACUCUGCAGCUACAUGAAGUUUGGAGGUGUGUAGUGAUGAACUCUAAAGCUACAUGAAGUUUGGGGGUGUGUAGUGAUGAACUCUGAAGCUACAUGACGUUUGGAGGUGUGUAGUGAUGAACUAUGAAGCUACAUACGAAGUUUGGAGGUGUGUAGUGAUACACUCUAAAGCUACAUAUGAAGUUUGGAGGUGUGUAGUGGUAAGCUCUGAAGCUACAUGAAGUUUGGAGGUGUGUAGUGAGUGAUGAGUUCUGCAGCUACAUAUGAAGUUUAGGGGUGUGUAGUGAUGAUCUCUGAAACUACAUGACGUUUGGAGGUGUGUAGUGAUGAACUCUGAAGCUACAUGAAGUUUGGAGGUGUGUAGUGAUGAACUCUGAAGCUACAUGGAGUUUGGGGGUGUGUAGUGAUGAACUUUGAAGCUACAUAUGAAGUUUGGAGGUGUGUAGUGAUAAACUCUGAAGCUACAAGAAGUUAGGAGGUGUUUAUUGAUGAACUCUGAAGCUACAUAUGAAGUUUGGAGGUGUGUAGUGAUAAACUCUGGAGGUACAUAAAGUUUGGAGGUGUGAAGUGAGUGAUGAACUCUGAAGCUCCAUAUGAAGUUUAGGGAUGUGUAGUGAUGAACUCUGAAGCUACAUGAAGUUUGGAGGUGUGUAGUGGUAAGCUCUGAAGCUACAUGAAGUUUGGAGGUGUGUAGUGAGUGAUGAGGUCUGAAGCUACAUAUGAAGUUUAGGGGUGUGUAGUGAUGAUCUCUGAAACUACAUGACGUUUGGAGGUGUGUAGUGAUGAACUCUGAAGCUACAUGAAGUUUGGAGGUGUGCAGUGA